rnacentral:rRNA from 1 species
GACGAACCGUGCAAACGUUAUUCGGAAUCACUGGGCAUAAAGGGCGCGUAGGCGGCUUUCUAAGUCAGGGGUGAAAUCCGGCAGCUCAACUGUCGCAGUGCCUUUGAUACUGGAGAGCUCGAGGGAGGCAGGGGUCUGUGGAACUUCCGGUGGAGCGGUGAAAUGCGUUGAUAUCGGAAGGAACGCCGGUGGCGAAAGCGACGGACUGGAUCUCUUCUGACGCUGAGGCGCGAAAGCCAGGGGAGCAAACGGG